rnacentral:rRNA from 1 species
CCCUUAGAUGUCCUGGGCCGCACGCGUGCUACACUGACGCCUACAGCGAGUACUUCCCAGCCCCGAGAGGUGGCUGGUAAUCAGCAAUAGGCGUCGUGAUGGGGAUAGAUCUUUGGAAUUAUGGAUCUUGAACGAGGAAUGCCUAGUAAGCGCAGGUCAUUAGCCUGCGUUGAUUAAGUCCCUGCCCUUUGUACACACCGCCCGUCGCUCCUACCGAUUUCGAGUGGUCCGGUGAAUCUUUCGGACUGCGCGCGGCUUCGUGCCGUGUCGCGGAAAGUCAGGUAAGCCUUAUCACUUAGAGGAAGGAGAAGUCGUAACA